rnacentral:misc_RNA from 1 species
UGACAAAUGCACACCUGCAACAGCUAUAAUUCCAACACAAACUUGUAAUUAAUAAUUAAUAUCUAACAUCUGAUUUCAGGAACUUUAAGCAAGUUCAAGUAUGAAAUAUGCUUAAGCCAUAAGCACACAAAGCAUUCAAGGUACAAAAUACAUCAUGUAAAUGGACAUGCUAAAGAAAGGACAAGUCACUGCCACAACAAUUGGUCUAAAAUCAUUUUUACAAAGUUCACAAAAUCAAAGGUCUCAAAUUCAGAAUAUCUUUUGUGACAAUAACAUCCAUUUUCUACCAGCCCUAGUCCCAUUCAGCACUUGUAUAGUUGUAUACCAAUUAUGUAAAUACAACUAACAUGAACAUAUAUCAAUUGCUAAACAAAGAUUCAUCAACAGGUAGAAGUAGAAGUAAUUACCAGUGUGCCUAAUGUAGAAGGGCA